GGAGAGCUUGCUGGAUGGUUUGGACAGCUUGUAACUCAAGAAGACACAGAGGGAGGUAACAGGCUUUCCUUACAUAUUUUGGAUAUUGAUUCAUUAUCAGACAGAGGACAUGAAAACCUUUUUAGCUCUUUGUGCGGCGAACACGCGCAGAGUGAAGAUGGUCCUCCGGCGGUUCGCCAGUCGUCUCCUGUGGAACCUUACCCAAACCAGGGGGAGGCUGCAGCCUGCGCCGUCUUUGCACAGCUGCCGGCUUGCAGGCUCCUGAUUCUCGAAGGAGGGUCCGAGGCACCACGAGGGAGUUAAAACGUCCACCGGUCUUAGUCGCGGCAUGUGGGCUCUUUGAUUGGCAUUGUGGCAUGCGAAAUCUUUAGUUGCAGCAUGUGGGAUCCAGUUCCCUGACCAGAGAUCGAACCCGAGCCUUCUGCAUUGGGAGUGCAGUCUUAGCCACUGCACCACAAGGGAAGUCCCUAAAAUGGUUAAUUUUAUAUGACUUUUACCUCAAUAAAAUUUUUUUUAAAACCAAA
ensembl:lncRNA